GCCUCCGUCGUCUAGUGGCCUAGGACGCCGCCCUUUCAAGGCGGAGAUCGUGGGUUCGAAUCCCAUCGGAGGUACCA
rnacentral:tRNA from 1 species